UACGUAGGGACCGAGCGUUGUCCGGAAUUAUUGGGCGUAAAGAGCUCGUAGGCGGUUUGUCGCGUCUGCUGUGAAAACUCAGGGCUUAACCCUGAGCCUGCAGUGGGUACGGGCAGACUAGAGUGUGGUAGGGGAGAUCGGAAUUCCUGGUGUAGCGGUGGAAUGCGCAGAUAUCAGGAGGAACACCGGUGGCGAAGGCGGAUCUCUGGGCCUGUACUGACGCUGAGGAGCGAAAGCGUGGGGAGCGAACAGG
rnacentral:rRNA from 1 species